CCUACGGGAGGCUGCAGUGAGGAAUAUUGGUCAAUGGACGAGAGUCUGAACCAGCCAAGUAGCGUGAAGGAUGACUGCCCUAGGGGUUGUAAACUUCUUUUAUAUGGGAAUAAAAUGUUCCACGUGUGGGAUGUUGUAUGUACCAUAUGAAUAAGGAUCGGCUAACUCCGUGCCAGCAGCCGAGGUAAUACGGAGGAUCCGAGCGUUAUCCGGAUUUAUUGGGUUUAAAGGGAGCGUAGGUGGAUUGUUAAGUCAGUUGUGAAAGUUUGCGGCUCAACCGUAAAAUUGCAGUUGAAACUGGCAGUCUUGAGUACAGUAGAGGUGGGCGGAAUUCGUGGUGUAGCGGUGAAAUGCUUAGAUAUCACGAAGAACUCCGAUUGCGAAGGCAGCUCACUGGACUGCAACUGACACUGAGGCUCGAAAGUGUGGGUAUCAAACAGGAUUAGAUACCCUAGUAGUC
rnacentral:rRNA from 1 species